rnacentral:rRNA from 2 species
CGGGAACGCAUGACAGGUGGUGCUGGUCGUCGUCAGCUCGUGUCGUGAGAUGUUGGGUUAAGUCCCGCAACGAGCGCAACCCUUGUUACUAGUUGCCAGCAUUAAGUUGGGCACUCUAGUGAGACUGCCGGUGACAAACCGGAGGAAGGUGGGGACGACGUCAGAUCAUCAUGCCCCUUAUGACCUGGGCUACACACGUGCUACAAUGGACGGUACAACGAGUCGCGAACUCGCGAGGGCAAGCAAAUCUCUUAAAACCGUUCUCAGUUCGGACUGCAGGCUGCAACUCGCCUGCACGAAGUCGGAAUCGCUAGUAAUCGCGGAUCAG